GAAGGAGAAAGAGGCUUAGAGGCACCGCGGCGGGGAUGGCGGCUGGGAGGCCGUGUCCUGAGACUCCGCAGCUGUAUUGGGUGCAGUGACUUCUGCUAGAGAUACAAUUCCUCAUGAACUGAUGCCUAAGGCCCUACAGCGUACCUGCUACUGCCCAGUCCUAACAGAAGCUCACACUGAUAUUAGUGAGGAAAAGACACCAGUCCUCAUUAACUGUCUGGUGGCUAACACCCUGCAGCACACCUGCUGCUGACAAGUCCGAACACAAGCUUCAUCUCAUCCUGAGUGAACCAAAGGUAAGUAAACAAGGAUAUGCUCAUGGGUGGGGAAUCCUGAGCACCUGCACUGUGACUCACACACCACAAUCCCAAGGUCCCAACCACAAUCCCCAUCUGUCGGGGACACUGGUAGGACCAUCACGUCUGCUGCGGUGCAUGGAGGGGGACACGCAGCAGCCUGCACCUGUGACAGUGCCUGUCUUUUUCCGGGUUGAACUCAAAAGAAGCAAACUUUCCGGUCACUCCAUGGAGUCAUAUACCCAACUGAGGAGUAAUCUGCCUCUAAAAUCCAGAGGCUCCCUGGGCGCUGGUUCUCCAUCUUGGUAGCAGGGCCAGAUGCCAGCAAUCAUUAUUUACCUCAGACACCUGCCUGCCCCACAGAAGAGCACUGGACACAAACAUAUUUCACUGAGUAAGAAUUCUGAAUUUCAGUCAGAUUUCUUCCUCAGCUACUGACUCUAAAAGUGUAUCAACUCUAGAGUAGUAUUGUCCCACUCACUUGGCCCAUUCUGGAUAACGUCAUCAUUGUAACUGACCAGCAAGAAGUAUUUCCUGUGGAAGAAAAGGGCAGUGAGGACCUUCAGCCUGUAGAGAUGACUCAUCCCUGAGGGAAGAUAAUGAAGGUGUGUGGGGGCCUUGCCACCUGAAAGAAGGCAAAUUGGAUUGAACUAUGGGAACACGAGGAGGAGGCAUUUGCCUGCACUGUAGUUGCAUAUGGAACAAGGUGAUGUGGACUUUGAAGUUGCUCAAGUAAAGUAACCACAUGGUACAGCAGCAGCAUAGGGUCUCCUGUAGUUAAAGAAUCGCCAUCUUCCUCAAUAACUGUCUGAUGGCUGACGCCCUAAGCACACCUGCUACUGCUCAGUCUUAACAGAGGCUUUCCAUGAUCCUUAAUGAACAGAGGCAAGUAAACAAAACUAUGCUGGCAUUAUUUGAAAACAGAGGAAUGUCUCUUACUUUCAAAAACAAGAGGAAGACUGACAAAGAUUCUUUUAAAAUUAUCCCAUUAUUAAAUAUUGGGGAUCAUGUAGUUAAUGACAUUAUAUUAACUUGUACAACUUCACAAUGCAGCAUAGCACACUCCAGUUUGUGCUCAACACUCACAGGAUGGCAUCCUUGUAUUGGAACUCCUUUGCCAUCGUAUCCUCACUCAUGCUUUUUCCCCUACGGUGACCGCCAUGGAAAAAGUCUGCAGGUAGGAGAUCUUCAAGGUGAAUGAGGAGGUGAACGGCCCAAUCUCUGCCCAUCGUGAUGGGUUCAUUACCCACUGUCCUUCACAAACAUCCCGAAUGUCCUUUGUAGCGCAGCCGUCCAGUUUCCUGUUGGAUAUUGACAUCAUGCAGAGUCACCGGACAAAUAUGAAAACUCAAGGUAUCUGAGGCCCGGACACACCUCCAUGACUAGCCGGCUGCCUCGGAGCUGGGGACUCCGUGCUUCCUGCCAUCAGCAGAUCCAGCCCCAGAAACAGACGAGUUUACAAUCAUCUCUGAAAACUGCCACGAAUGGGUGUCCUGUUCUAAGCCGGGUCACCCAGGAAGGACGGGGGUAAGAGGGACAUUUUGCUCCAGAAACAGAAUGUCCAAAAAGGCCCAGUCCAUUAUUUUCCCCAGAAACGGCUGGAGGAGAGUAAAAUCCCAACAUGAGCCUCGAAGGCCUCUGUGCCCAGGGGAUGGCGUUGCCUGCUGAGGAGGGGCAGCAGGGGACACGGGCAGUUUCUCCACAGGCUGCAGCGGGAAGCUGGGCAGGAGCCUGGCGGGCCCCGGGUUCUCUAAGAGGUUCUUCUAGAAACAGACCCCUCAGAUGCUUCCUCUCACUUCAGGUAAGAAGUUACUGUUAAGGCACUUGGGGAGUUUCCCUUCCAGCUUCAGAAAGGAGGCGCAGAUAUGACCAAGCGCUCUGUAACUGGAGCAGCCUGGAGGCCAGCUCUGGGGCUGCACAGCCCAGCCAUGAGGAAAAGCCGGCCCAGCUGCCCGCGUGUGGCCUUGACACAGCCCCUGGCACCGUUCUGAUGGCAACUGGCAGUGAGUCUCAAGGCUCAGAGCACAGGACUGGCCUGCAGGGAGCAGACACUCAUCCCAAGACCCCACUGCUGCUGAGUUCCAUCCGGAGCCUGUCAGAGAGCAGCCGCUGCCGUAGCCGGGCCUCAUCUGAGUGUGCGCCAGCUUCACGCAGAGCACAAGGCAUGUCUGCAGGUGUCGCAGAGCGUUCCCCUAACCGGGAAUGGCCUUCAGCGUGGAAAAGACGGUCUUUAGUGAAAGAGACCUCUCCAGAGACCUCAGCCAGACAUGCAAAGACUAUCGAGUUAUUCCAGGAUCCAAGAUCACAUUUGCAGACUUUGUAACAGCCAGAGUCAAUGGCUUAAGGUGUGUAUUUAAACUCCAAUCUCUUAGACGCAGCGUCAUAGACAAUAUGUGAGCAAAUAGGUGUGGCUGUAUUCCCAUAAAGCAGUAUUUGUAGA